rnacentral:rRNA from 1 species
AGGCUUUGAUCCUGGCUCAGGAUGAACGCUAGCGGCAGGCCUAACACAUGCAAGUCGAGGGGCAGCACGAUGUAGCAAUACAUUGGUGGCGACCGGCGCACGGGUGCGUAACGCGUAUGCAACUACCCUUUACUGGGAAAUAACUUCGAGAAAUCGAAGCUAAUGUCCCAUAAUAUUCAGAUAAGGCAUCUUGUUUGAAUUAAAGCUCCGGCGGUAAAGGAUGGGCAUGCGUUCUAUUAGCUAGUUGGUGAGGUAACGGCUCACCAAGGCGACGAUAGAUAGGGGUCCUGAGAGGGUGAUCCCCCACACUGGUACUGAGACACGGACCAGACUCUACGGGAGGCAGCAGUGAGGAAUAUUGGGCAAUGGACGCAAGUCUGACCCAGCCAUGCCGCGUGCAGGAAGACGGUCCUAUGGAUUGUAAACUGCUUUUGUAUGAGAAGAAACCCCUGGACGUGUCCAAAGCUGACGGUAUCAUACUGAAUAAGCACCGGCUA